UCUGAUUAGCUGUAUAUUCAAGCCAGUGAAGAACAGGCAGUUAACUGUCAGUUGGGAGAUAACUGUCAGUUGGAAAACAAAGUUGGGGGAGUCAGUUGACGAGGGAGGUGUGAGGCAGAGGCCAGAGAAAGAUGAGGUGAAAGUGGAAAGAUGAGGCCCGAAUAUUAAGCUGUUCAUUCCCAGUGUGUAAACAAUACUUUGCUGGCUGACUCCUGUAAAAGCAAGACAAGGACCAGCAAUGGCACUCGCACACACAAAAGCUCUAAGCCUCCAUGCCUGCAACUAAGUCAUACUCCCAGUUCUGUCAAGCAACUGAGGAGUGGGCGGAAGAGAGAGGAAAAUGGAAGAUACCAAGAUGAGAGUGGGAGAAAUGGAAAAGGCUUCUUCUAAGAAGAUAUCCAAUUAAUUUGGAGAGAUUUGUAAUCAUUUCGAACAAGCAAAAGUAAUCAUUUAGACCAGAUGUUUUGGACUGCAACUCCCAUUAGCUCCAACCAGGAUGUCUGUGCUGGCUGGGGAUGAUAGGAGUUGUAGUCCAAGACAUCUGGAGAGCAUCAGGAUGGCAAAGCCAUUUGAUCAAUUGAUUAAACAUCACAGCCCUAAUGAUAAUUUAUCCCUUUCCUUUGCUGGUAAUAUUGUGAUUAGGAUAUAUCAAUUCAGCACUAAGAAAAACCUGUUUAGACAUGCACUCACAGCCUUGUUGACUUAAUCCUAGAAGUUCCUGAGAACAGAUUAUUAUUAAUUAGAAUUUAUCGACAGCCUCUUUAUUCCAAAUGGUAUCUUUAAAUUAAGCCAGUUUCAGAAUACCUAACUCUCUGGGCUAUAUUUUCUAUCUCCUUCAGUAUCAGGAUAAAUUCCCAAGGGAGAAAUAGAAUUGUUUCUUACAGUGAACAGGAUAGGAAAGGACAGCACUCGGAGACAGUGGCACUGUUUAAUCAGAGGCAAUAGACUUCUAACUUACUAUGGAAAAGGUGCACAGCCUUGCACAAUUCACUAUCUCUAAAACCUUAGUUCCCCAUCUGGAAAAUGAGAGUAAAAGUAACCUGCAUUACUAUUUUGUUGUAAAGUCAAGCAGGCCACAAUCCACUGGGAAGUUGUUCUGCACAAGUCCCCUUCCAAAAACAUUGUACGGUGACAUUGGGCAGCUCCUAUAUUUCAAUGAAAUUUGCACAGAGGAGUCCCUGGUGGAUUGUGCCCACGGGGUGUGUGUGUUAUGCACAUUAAAAAGUGUCAUGGGCCUGGAAAGGAUGUGAAAGCCACAUAAAUGCAUCCUCGGGGCAAAAUGGCAGAACAACGAAAGCUUUGAUGGAUUUAUGCUGUGAAACAAACUCUUUUAACAUUCACUGUUCUUCACAAAAGCUACCCUUCAACGUGGACUUUGUCUCUGCUGCCUUGCCUAAGGCAGGCUGCCCAGCUUUUAUCCAUUAAUGUUCAUUGCAGAAUCUCAACCCCUUUAAGAAGUGGCAGCGAGCUUGUAAAUCCUGCCAUCCGAUGAGCUGUGCUGUUGCAGUGUGUCAACUCAAUGUGUGGAAGGGAAAACAGAUGUGCUAAGUAGAGGGUAUGCACAAGAGACAGAGCCCUUUUUGCUAUGAUGCCCAAACAGUGGAAUAGUUUCCCCAAAAAGAAAGGUGAGAUGCAAAUCUCUGGAAGGAAGGAACAAUGGGUGGAGGCAAGGCAGUAGGACAGAGCUAGCUCUUCUGACUGUUCCACCAUUUGGCAGGCCCACAGUGACUGCUUUACAAAUGCUGCAGUGACGUUGUCCACAAAUGCUUUGUAGACUCUAUGGAAACAUAUCACUAGCCCUCAGCAAUGGCAGCCAUCAGCCAAUCAGAUUGUUAUUGGAGCCCAACGUUCUCAGCCUUGAGGAGCUUCUAUUUAUUGGACUGUUCCAUCUGAGUGAUAGGAGGGGAACACAUGUUUCAUAUUAAUCUUCAUUUCAACUAAGUUGUUUUAGCUCAUGCUUUAUUAUGGCACUUUGUAACAAUGCAUCAGUAACAGCAGCCCCGGGGCAGUGCUUGCGUGCAGCAGGCUGAGUGUCUAAACUGCUCUCGAGACAGUCUCUAAUCACACACAAUGAGGCACUCCCUGGUGCACCAUAUGAAUUUAUAAUAGCAAUUUAUAUGAUGCCCUGAAGCAUGAUUUGUAUUUGGUCUGGGAUGCUGGGGUUGGUUUGGGAGGGGAGCUGCUUACAUUGUCCUCUCUUUCACCACGUUUAUAUGGUGCCUUUAAAGCACAGAGGGCAAAAACCUACACAUACACUCCUGCAUUA